GGCCGCCGCCCCGCCCGCCGCCCGCUCUGUACUUAGCUGAUGACGGGUUCCGCGGCCCUCGGCGGGGCGGGUGGCGGGUUCAGGGCGGGCGAAGCCGGCCCAGCCGGUCCCGUGCUCGGCUCGCAGGCGGCCGCCGGGCCUGUGUCAUCCACCAGGAAUUUCUGUUUUCCCCUCCGCGGGGCUGGAAGAAAAAACAAUAAUUAGGUCACUGGGCAGGCGGCAGAGAGGGUGUGGGACAGGCCAGUGGCGCCCUGUUGGGCAGGGAAAGGGUUUGGGAGGACGGCGGGGAGGGGAGGGCCCCGCAGCGCUCUCCUUCCUGCCCUCCCCAGCCUCCCGCGGGUGCAAGCAGGGGCAGCCCUGACCGUCCCCACCGUUCACUCAUUCCACAGGCGUUUGCUGUGCACCUCUUGUGCACCAAAUUCGAUGCUAGGCGCUGGGAAUUCAGCAGUGAGCAAAAGAGAAGGAAGGACCUGGUGAAAAAGAUAAAAAGACAGAGAGGCAGUCAGGCGGUGACCACACGGUGGGAGGCCACUGCACAGGCAGAGGCGUUUCAGGGUAUAUGGACGGGAGCCAGGUAGUUAUGGAAGGCUUCCUGGAGGAAGUGGCACCUGCUCAGAGGCCUGAAAGAGGAAUGGGCCUUGUUGUGGGGAGAGGCAGGUUGGGUACUCCAGGUAGAAGGAGCGGCAGGUGCAAAGGCUUGGCGGUGAGAAGACAGGGCACACGGCAAGGACUGAAAGCACAGCAGAGAAGCAUCGCAUGAACUUUCAAUCCUCAGGGUGACUCUGACGAUUAAAGACGCAUAUUUUUGAUCCCAUGAGGACCCUAAACGCAAGCCAGCGACUUUAUCUGGUGCUCAACUGAAGAUAUAGCCACAUUUUCCCACAUUGGAGGAAGACUGUUUUGGACUUACUGAGAGGUACUAAGUCCGGGUACUGUACCUAUGAGUGACUGAAGACAUUUUCAAGGGGUCGUCUGGACUUAGCACAUUUAUCUCCUUCACUCCGACCUUAAGACAACCCCCACUGUGAAGGACAGGAUGCCAGGACAGGGGCACCUGCCUGAGUCAUUUGGAGGAUGAGCCGUGAGACUGGGAAGGUGGACAGCAUCGGGAUAGGGAGAACUGAUGGUAAAGUGAAGGCUGAAACCAGCCCCUAGUGGCAAAGCAUGGAAACAGAAAACUUCACAGCAGAGACCAUCCUUUCACUUCCCGUCGACAUCCUACUGGAAGUUUCCUUAAUAAAAAUAUUCCCAC
rnacentral:lncRNA from 1 species